rnacentral:rRNA from 1 species
AACGUAGGUUCCGAGCGUUAUCCGGAUUUACUGGGCGUAAAGCGCGUUCAGGCGGUUCGGCAAGUCGGGCAUGAAAUCUCUCGGCUCAACCGGGAGAGGUUGUCCGAUACUGUUGGACUUGAGGGCAGUAGAGGGUGGUGGAAUUCCGGGUGUAGUGGUGAAAUGCGUAGAUAUCCGGAGGAACACCAGUGGCGAAGGCGACACGCUGGGCCGUACCUGACACUGAUGCGCGACAGCAUGGGGAGCAAACAGG